AGAGUUUGAUCAUGGCUCAGGACGAACGCUGGCGGCGUGCUUAACACAUGCAAGUCGAACGGUCUUACUCGAGAGCUUGCUCUCGAAUAAGGCAGUGGCGGACGGGUGAGUAACGCGUGGGCAAUCUGCCUCUAAAUUGGGGAUAACCCAUCGAAAGGUGGGCUAAUACCGAAUAAUCUGCAUUGAUCGCAUGGUCGAUGUAGAAAAGGAGUAAUCCGUUUAGAGAUGAGCCCGCGUCCCAUUAGCUAGUUGGUGAGGUAACGGCUCACCAAGGCGACGAUGGGUAGCCGGCCUGAGAGGGUGACCGGCCACACUGGGACUGAGACACGGCCCAGACUCCUACGGGAGGCAGCAGUGGGGAAUAUUCGGCAAUGGGGGCAACCCUGACCGAGCAACGCCGCGUGGGUGAAGAAGUUUUUCGGAACGUAAAGCCCUGUCAUGAGGGAAGAAGGCAAGAUGACGGUACCUCAUAAGAAAGCUCCGGCUAACUACGUGCCAGCAGCCGCGGUAAUACGUAGGGAGCAAGCGUUGUCCGGAAUCAUUGGGCGUAAAGGGCGCGUAGGCGGUUUGUUAAGUCAAAUGUGAAAUGCACCGGCUUAACCGGUGAGCUGCGUUUGAAACUGGCAGACUUGAGAUCAGGAGAGGAAAGUGGAAUUCCUAGUGUAGCGGUGAAAUGCGUAGAUAUUAGAAGAACAUCUAUGGCGAACGCAGCUUUCUGGCCUGAAACUGACGCUGAGCGCGAAAGCGUGGGGAGCAAACAGGAUUAGAUACCCUGGUAGUCCACGCCGUAAACGAUGGAUACUAGUGUGGGAGGUUCGAUCUUCCGUGCCGCAGUUAACGCAUAGUAUCCCGCCUGGGAGUACGGCCGCAAGGUUGAAACUUAAAUGAAUUGACGG
rnacentral:rRNA from 1 species